GUUAGUGAGGAAUGGCAGGAUGUUCUUAAACCAGGGAGAUUUGCAUUGGCCCUGCAGGCUCCAACAGGCAGCUAUGGAAAAGGAUCUUGGAAGAGAGAAAAAGGGUGACUGACAAGGAGUUAGCUUCAGCUGGACAGAACCCCAGCUCCCCAGCACCUGCAGGGAGGCACACACAGAUGCCUCCCCUGUGCGGAAGGGUCCUAUUGAAUUCACGGACUCAGAGAGUGCCUCCAAUGCACCGCUCCGGGUGUCAGGACUACAGUGCAGAGCAAGACAGACAACACCCCCUCGGGAUGGAUUAGGCAAGUGAAGGAAGAGAGCACUCCUCUCCCCAGAGGACCAAUUCACUCUCUUAACCCAAGAGGCAGCUUGGGAUGGAACUCCGGAAAAGAGCAAGAUCCCAGAUGUGACAUCUUCUGAAUUAUCCUCACCGUGCCCCGUACAUCCAGGCCUUCCUUCCAAUUUCCCCAGGCAGCUGUAGCCACUAAUCUGGGACCACCAUCGAUGUUCCUAAUCCACCUCCCCUGCUGUCCUUGCCUCCCUUCCCUGACUCCAUUUCCAACCCCCUCCACAGUCCAUCACCAUUGUAUUUUUUUGCCUGAUUAAUGUUUCCACAAAACAUGUCAUUCCUCUGAUGAGACCUCAAUGCAUAGUUAUAGAGGACGGUUUCCUAAGCUGGCACUCAAGGCCCACCAUAGCCCAGAGUGUGUCUCACCCAGCCGAUGGUCUUUCUUUCCAUAUACACUGUAUUCUAGGCAACUUGUACUGUAGAUGAGUGCUAUGAUUAAGUCCAGCCUGAAAGACCUGGGCAUGAAUCACCCACCUGCCCUUUACUGAAUUUGGAAGAGUUGCUUAGAUUCCCUCAUCUUCCAUGUCAGUCUCUGUAAAAUUGUGAUAAAAAUGGAUCCCAGCCAGAGGGAUUACUGUGAGCAGUGAUGAAGGUGAAGUGUGCCAGGCUCCUGGCAUAGAGCUUGGUACAUGGAAUAGGUGCUCAGUAAAAGC
rnacentral:lncRNA from 10 species